GUGCUUAUCUGGCAGGGGAGGAACAGUGAUCGCGUAGGUGGUUUUAUCAGGCUGCCACUCAGUUAUUGCACUCCGGCUGUACUGACUUCUACGAUUUCCCCAAAUGCGGAACUGCACUAUUAGUGCUAGUGGGGGACUGCAUUCGCGCAUUUCUCUG